rnacentral:rRNA from 1 species
GACGAACCGAGCGAACGUUGUUCGGAAUCACUGGGCUUAAAGGGCGCGUAGGCGGGUGCUCAAGUCUGUGGUGAAAUCCUCCGGCUCAACCGGAGAACUGCCAUGGAUACUGGGUGUCUCGAGGGUGGUAGGGGUAUGCGGAACUAUCGGUGGAGCGGUGAAAUGCGUUGAUAUCGAUAGGAACUCCGGUGGCGAAGGCGGCAUACUGGACCACUUCUGACGCUGAGGCGCGAAAGCGUGGGGAGCGAACAGG